CAGUAUCGCACAUUGCCUGGUCGUUCCUUGUGUCAGCAGUCGCAAUUUUUGAUCUGUCGGAAUCAUCAAAGCAGCAUUUGCUUUUUUCGCAACAACUCGAAAUGGCUCCAGUAAAAGUACAAGUUGAAUACUGCGGAGCUUGAGGGUACGCCCCUCGCUUUCAGUGUCUGAAGGAAGAUGUCCUGAAGUACUUUUCUGCAUCUGAGGUUGAUAUUGCUGGUCAUGUAGGGAGAUCGUCUUCCUAUGAGAUCCAAAUCAACGGUGAACUUGUUUUCUCCAAACUGAAGCAAGGCGGGUUCCCUUCCAGUGAGGAUGUCAUUGAGAGCAUCCGCAUGGCCCAAAAGGGUGAGGUCCGGCUGAUCACCGAGUCCAAGAGCUCUUGUGCCAUUCUGUAGCUGCCAGUGAGGGAUGUCACUCCUCAACGCAAAAGGAACCAGCACUUUGUUGCCUACCCAAGUCUUUGCCAUCAUGAGGCAGCCUGUCUUAUUGCUCCGAUGUAGCUCUAUUGACUUUUUAGCAAUAUCCCGCUUCUUCUGUGGACUUGUUUAGGUUAUUCAUUGGAGUACAUAAAAAUAUCACCAGCAGUGAGAAAGCAAAGAAAAUAUUUCAGCUAAAUAUUCAGAGUUCAGGCCUGUUCGACAAUGUGAACAGAAGUGGCCUGUCUGUGUUUUUUAAAUAGAAAUAAGCCUGUGAAUUUAGGUGGCAUGUUCCUGUUUGGGAAGAUGGUACAGGUACAUCUUUUUUCGCAUCUGCAUCAAAUUAUGUAAAUUUGAGGAUUUGCCUUUUAUUCAAGUUUGUUCCAUCCAAAUAAUGCCUCAGAUGUUGGGUUUCCUUUUGUGCUGACAGCUACAAUGAGGGAACUCUUCUAACAGCAAAGUUUCCUUGGCUUUCACAUAUUGCACCUGCAUUAUUCAGUCCCUAUGACAACACAUGCUCCAAACUUGUGGCGGGCAUAUGUUUGAUGUAUGACUGACAGGGUGCAGUUUGUCCUAGUUGAUGAAGCUACUGUUGUGGAGUUCUCUUUUCAUGUUGUCUUUUUCAGUCAUUAGAUUAUAUUUUUUCCUUAUAAAUAAAAGCUUGGAUUUAACUUUUGACUUUUACUUUUAGUUAGUAUUUUUUUAAUGACUCAUUUGUUUUGUUGUUGUUUUUUAUCUAUUGCCUUUAGGAGUUAAGGACAGCAUCACUUGGUUUAUUGAUUCUUUCAGUCCCCAUUCUAAUCAACAACCUCUUCCUUACAAGCUUGACAUUUUUGUCUCAUUUGCGUUCCACCCUAUUGUCACUGAUGAAAUGUUUAGACGCAAAGCAGCACUUUCGAAAGUCUUCUUGUUUGCCAAUUCUUGUGCUUCACUUGCCUUUUCUUAACUUAAAGUACAGUAAUGUCAUAAAAUGAAUCACUCAUAGUCAUAGUGUAGCUGUGCUCUCCUUGACAUUAUUGAGAAUAGAGACCUUUUUUUUUGCAGUACAGCAAUGAUCAGUUUGGCAUGGAAACACUUCUCUUGUCACAUAUAUAUAUAGACUUUGAUUUGUUCACUCAAGUCCCUUUAUUAUAUCAUUAAAUCAGUACUGUACAUCAAUUAUUCACGGAGGAUUAUGUAGUAUUUUUUAGUAUAAAAAAUCUUCAGACAUUACAUGCUAAAGUUCAGAGUUUUAUAUUCAGUAUUGUGUUAUCUCAAAGGUGAACUGUUCUAGUUUUGAUAUCGAUUUAUUGGUGUGCUCAAGUUAUAUCUUUCAUUUGCAUUUCGAAUGCUCAUUUUUCUGCCCUGAGUCUGAGAUCACGUUAUACAAGUACAUGUUGAUAUUGCUAAAUUAUAAAUUAAACUCUGUUCCCAACACAAGUCAGUGGGGACAAUCCGAGUGAGCUUUGCCAUCACUCAAAGUCUUAUGUCACAAGUGGUAGCAAUAGAAUCUGAUGCUGUUAUAAACUUUUGAGAAACGUGGUACCUCAUAAAUAUUUAAAAUGUUAUUGCUUCUUUGAGGUUGAAUCCAGGCCUAACGCAAGUUUACAGAUAUAUUUAGGUCCAGUCUAGGUCUGUACAAUGUGAUGAAAAGAAUUUAUAAAUCAUGUUCUGUUUUGCUUCAAUGAAAUUAUUAUUGACGUUUAUAUAAUUUAUAAGCAAUAAAGUACCUUUUUCGCCAAGUAUC